GGCUUCGUAGCUCAAUUGAAUAGAGUACCAGAUUCCGGUUCUGUUGGUUGCGGGUUUGAAUCCCGCCGAGGUCA
rnacentral:tRNA from 1 species